rnacentral:rRNA from 1 species
GACGAACGCUGGCGGCGUGCUUAACACAUGCAAGUCGAACGGAAAGGCCCUGCUUUUGUGGGGUGCUCGAGUGGCGAACGGGUGAGUAACACGUGAGUAACCUGCACUUGACUUUGGGAUAACUUCAGGAAACUGGGGCUAAUACCGGAUAGGAGCUCCUGCUGCAUGGUGGGGGUUGGAAAGUUUCGGCGGUUGGGGAUGGACUCGCGGCUUAUCAGCUUGUUGGUGGGGUAGUGGCUUACCAAGGCUUUGACGGGUAGCCGGCCUGAGAGGGUGACCGGCCACAUGGGGACUAAGGGACGGCGCAGACUCCUACGUGAGGCAAUAGUGGAGAGUAUUGCACAGUGGGGGGAAGCCUGAUGCAGAAGCGCCGCGUGCGGGAUGACGGCCUUCGGGUUGUAAACCGCUGUCUCCUGUGACGAAGCGUGAGUGACGGUAAUGAGUAAAGAAGCACCGGCUAACUACGUG